rnacentral:rRNA from 1 species
AGUGGCGGACGGGUGAGUAACAUUUAGGAAUCUGCCUAGUAGUGGGGGAUAGCUCGGGGAAACUCGAAUUAAUACCGCAUACGACCUACGGGUGAAAGGGGGCGCAAGCUCUUGCUAUUAGAUGAGCCUAAAUCAGAUUAGCUAGUUGGUGGGGUAAAGGCCUACCAAGGCGACGAUCUGUAACUGGUCUGAGAGGAUGAUCAGUCACACCGGAACUGAGACACGGUCCGGAUUCCUACGGGAGGCAGCAGUGGGGAAUAUUGGACAAUGGGGGCAACCCUGAUCCAGCCAUGCCGCGUGUGUGAAGAAGGCCUUUUGGUUGUAAAGCACUUUAAGCAGGGAGGAGAGGCUAAUGGUUAAUACCCAUUAGAUUAGACGUUACCUGCAGAAUAAGCACCGGCUAACUCUGUGCCAGCAGCCGCGGUAAUACAGAGGGUGCGAGCGUUAAUCGGAAUUACUGGGCGUAAAGCGAGUGUAGGUGGCUCAUUAAGUCACAUGUGAAAUCCCCGGGCUUAACCUGGGAACUGCAUGUGAUACUGGUGGUGCUAGAAUAUGUGAGAGGGAAGUAGAAUUCCAGGUGUAGCGGUGAAAUGCGUAGAGAUCUGGAGGAAUACCGAUGGCGAAGGCAGCUUCCUGGCAUAAUAUUGACACUGAGAUUCGAAAGCGUGGGUAGCAAACAGGAUUAGACACCCUGGUAGUCCACGCCGUAAACGAUGUCUACUAGCCGUUGGGGUCCUUGAGACUUUAGUGGCGCAGUUAACGCGAUAAGUAGACCGCCUGGGGAGUACGGCCGCAAGGUUAAAACUCAAAUGAAUUGACGGGGGCCCGCACAAGCGGUGGAGCAUGUGGUUUAAUUCGAUGCAACGCGAAGAACCUUACCUGGUCUUGACAUAGUGAGAAUCCUGCAGAGAUGCGGGAGUGCCUUCGGGAAUUCACAUACAGGUGCUGCAUGGCUGUCGUCAGCUCGUGUCGUGAGAUGUUGGGUUAAGUCCCGCAACGAGCGCAACCCUUUUCCUUAUUUGCCA